CUUCUGAGUGCAUCCUAUAUCUACCGCUGAUAAAUCUUUCUCAAGUCUCUUUUACUGAUGCAUCCUGAAAAUUCUUUUUCCCCAACAGGAGUCAGCAAACCUGCACAAUUAUUUUAAACGUGUGGGUUAAGUUCCUUAUUUUAGUCAUGGGGACCCUCACACCCAAGCCAGUGACAUUUAUUUUGGCAACCACAAAGGGACCUAGAAAGAGACAUGGAAACUGCAGAGAUCUCCGCUUUGGUUUGAAACUCUGCUUCCCGUGGACUCAGAUGAUCCCACUAGAUGUGCAUCCUGUUCUAGAAGAUGGGGGAGACUGAGCCCCUGCUGCUCCCUCCCUCACUGGAUGUGGAAAGAGAUGAGGGCAGGUGCUUCUGACUGCCCUGUGAGCUGAGCUGCGCUUUCUUCAUCACCCGGCCAAGAACCAGUCCAUGUGUCUCCAGCCAGGAAGGCU